GUGAUAGGGUGUGCUGGAUGACGGGUGAUGCGUGGGGGGCGGGGGUGGGCCGGAUGGGGUGGGCGGAAAGGGCGGGUGGGCGGUCGGUCGCGGCUGGGGGGAAAGCGCGGGGGUUAACCGCGGGUGUGCAUGGGAGACGGGCAGGCUAGAGUGGGGUAGGGGAGAUCGGAAUGCCUGGUGGAGCGGUGAAAUGCGCAGAUAUCAGGAGGAACACCGGUGGCGAAGGCGGAUCUCUGGGCCAUGACUGACGCUGAGGAGCGAAAGCGUGGGGAGCGAACAGGAUUAGAUACCUCAGUAGUC
rnacentral:rRNA from 1 species